rnacentral:tRNA from 1 species
GCUCCGCUAACUCAAUGGUGAGAGUGCCUGUCUUAUACGCAGUUGGUUCCGGGUUCGAGUCCCGGGCGGAGUACCA